GAUCCAAAGUAUUUAGCACAUUCUGAACAGAUCUGGAGCGGGAUUCUUCCAGAGAGCUUUGAGAAUCCCCUCCCUCCUCUUCCAAGUCCCCACCUCUCUCCUAAACAGAUUAUUGAGGAGUUAAAGGAGCUUGCAUCGGUCCCUGUGUCGUCUCUAUGAGGCUUAGAGCUCCAGAGGAAACAGAUGGGAUAAGAAAACCAGGGGAUCUAAUUACAGAGGCUUAUUUAGCAAUCCAAGGCCCUUCCAGAACACAGUCGAAAGCCUCAAGCCGCUGCUCCUCGCAGUUUCUCUUUCAGAGGUAUUCGUCUCAAAGCCUUAAGACAGCUACGGUUGUUUAACAUGGAGAAAGAGGAAGAGGAAGAUGAAAUCUUUACCACAUUUCAGGGAGGAUAUGAAGGACAGGAAGAUGUGGAGGAGCAGGAUGAAAAGGAGCCAGAGGCUGAGAGGAAGAGCAGUUGGGAUGUCCCAAUUCCAAGUCGAUCAUUGGCCAGUCGCAGAGCUUCACUUCCAUGUCCGGCUCAGCUGAAUGCGAUGCAUCUGAGCCGUCUGCAUGCUGCCACCACGAGCCCUAGCCCGGCGUACCUGAGCCACUGGCUUCAGAGCGGUGAGGCGAGGCCGUGCUCUCGCUCCAGCCAUGUUACCAAUAGCGAGGAGGGAGCACACACCAAGAGCAGCGCAUGUGAACGACGCCCACAUGCCAUCCCAACCAUCCCUGAGCUGCACGAGCCUCUGGAGAGAAAAGCUCGGUUUAGGAGCCGCAAUGUCAUGUCUCUGAGUGAUGCAGACAGUUUGUGUCUGGUCUGCCAUGACGACCUACGCAAAGGAGGAGCAGUUAUCAGAGAGCUUCACUGUUCCCACAGCUUCCACAGUGAGUGCAUAGAGGAAUGGUUGUGGACCAAGCAGACCUGUCCUACGUGUCAAAAGCAUGUUGCCAUGCCAGAGCCCCUGUACUGGACAUCUACCAGAGUAAUAGUGCCCUGAGCUCUUCCAGCCAGCUCCCAUUCAAACUACCUUGGACAUCAGAUGGCUAACCAAAACAUCAGACAUGAUGGGGGAUAACUGACAAUGGAUAAAGAACCAGCUACAAAAAAGGUGGUCAUAUGACUAAUCAGAUUUUGUUAUUCAGAGAAACAGAUUUGUAAAGCAUUUCUUUGUACAUAGGCUAAAUGAUUUUAACAUCACUAAGUGUAAAAUUGUUUUUUAAAAUCAUAUUUACAUAUUAAGAAAAUAUGUUAUUUUCUAAUGUGUAUAUAGAUUUUUCUGCAGAAAUUUAAGCAAACUGCUCAAGUUUUAAAAAUGUACCUCACUAUAUUAGUAAUUCAAUGUAGGCCUACUCGCAAUGUUCUGUUUUCAAAACAUGUAACUACUACCAACAAAAGUGUAGGCCUGCAUUUACCAGGUGUGUAUUUGAGUAAAUGUGCUUUUUUACUAUACUUAAGUACUACUUGGGGAAUUUGUUCAUACAGUAUUUCACUGAUCAUCCUGACAAAGAAUUAUGGUGAUUCAUACCAAACUAACAAGUCAAAAUCACAUUCCUGUGAUGUUUACUAAACUUUAAUUGAAAACAGCCAAU
rnacentral:lncRNA from 1 species